CUUUAUUGAUUUCAGAGAGUAAGGGAGAGGGAGAAAGAGAUAGAAACAUCAGUGAUGAGAGAGAAGCCAAUUGAUUGGCUUCCUCCUGCACCCCUCCCACU